AGCAGCCGCGGUAAUUCCAGCUCCAAUAGCGUAUAUUAAAGUUGUUGCAGUUAAAAAGCUCGUAGUUGAAUUUCGGAAUCUGUCCAUCGGUCGAGCUUCACUGUUCGUACUGGUGUGGUGGGUUCUUACCUUCUGAAUAACCAGCAUGCCAUUCACUUGGUGCGUUGGGGAAGCAGGACUAUUACCUUGAAAAAAUUAGAGUGCUCAAAGCAGGCCAGCGCCUGAAUACAUUAGCAUGGAAUAAUAAAAUAGGACGGCUUGGUUCUAUUUUGUUGGUUUCUAGGAUCACCGUAAUGAUUAAUAGGGAUAGUUGGGGGCAUUAGUAUUCAAUUGUCAGAGGUGAAAUUCUUGGAUUUAUUGAAGACUAACUUCUGCGAAAGCAUUUGCCAAGGAUGUUUUCAUUAAUCAAGAACGAAAGUUAGGGGAUCGAAGACGAUCAGAUACCGUCGUAGUCUUAACCAUAAACUAUGCCGACUAGGGAUCGGACGAUGUUAAUUUUUUAAUGACUCGUUC
rnacentral:rRNA from 1 species